CACUGAGCAGAAAUAACACGGCUCCUGUUCAUUCUCCAUCAGUGAGGGGCCGGUGCUGGACACUGUGUAGGGACGCGGGAAUGCAAAGUCAUACACAUGACUGUGACUGAUGCACUAUCUCCAGGACAUGGAGUAGCAUUUCCGGACCUACAGCAAGACGUUGGAUGAAGGCAUAGCCCCAGAAAUAACACUGGUCCUGUUCAUCAGUGAGGGGCCGGUGCUGGACACUGUGUAGGGACACGGGAAUGCAAAGUCAUGCACAUGACUGUGACUGAUGCACUAUUUCCAGGACAUGGAGUAGCAUUUCGGGACCUACAGCAAGACGUUGGAUGAAGGCACAGGCCUAGGAAUCAUGCACAUACACAGAAACAUUUGCCCAAAUUAUAGAGGUAACCUCCUUUAGUAUGCCCAGAGGAAGGGCCAUACAGUAGCCAUGGAUUCCCUACAGGUUUCCUCCCCUCUGGAGGUUUUUCCUGUCCUGAGUAUUAGUUACUGUACGCUCUUUGUGAGUGAUGGGAGGUUACAAAAAAUCCCCUACACAAACAUUUUAAUAAAUAAUAAAUAAAGUUCCCCUUUUUUUAAACUGUUC